CACUCCCUCAUCGCCCUCAUGCUGCGAAUCCCCUUCCUUGUCGCUCUCUCUCAGACGAGACUCUCUCUCGCAAUCUCUCCUAAUCGCGUCUCUCUUUCUCAGGCGCAACCAUUCCAUCCCCAAUCGCUCACAUCUCACUCAAUCUCUCUGAAACGAUGCUAGAAUCCAUGGCUAAGACAAAAAGGGCUCACCUUCGGCGGUGGCGACGGUUCAGCUUAGGGUUUCGGUUUGAUGCUCAAAGGUUCGAAAGGAGAAAGUUUCCAGAAUCGCUUUUGCUGCUCAGAAACGAGUUGUCUUUUUUGAUGCUAUAAUUCGAAAAUGUGAAAAUUGGUUAACGCAGGAAUGGAUGAGGUUGAGGUUCAAGGUGAGUAGUGCUACGAUGGCGGUUGAGUUAUGGUUGUUCUGUUAGAAUUUACAUGGGCUACACAGAAUCUCCUUCCUUAAGCAAUCUGAGAUCACGAACAGAUAUAAUUCCAUCAUCACUGCACGACGCCAACAUACAACUAGCCAACCUUUCCAUGACAAAACAUUCACAUCAGCAUUAUGUGAUCUAAAAGACGCAGCUGGUGACCUCCCACGAGUAUCCCAUAUUGCAAUGGUUUUGUCAACAGAACAAGAAGCAGAAACAUUAGGUUCUGUAGGGCUCCUAUUGCAGAUCUUCAACACUACCGGUAUGUCCAGUAAAAAGAGUUGUGUCAAUAUUCCAUGUUGCAGCAGAUGUAGGCUCCCAAAGUGGAGCCUGAACUACAUCAACUCCUUGGACAACUCCCGAUUCUGUCUCUGCUAGAGCAUUGAGAUGAGAGCUUAUGUCCCAGACCUGUACGUGACCAGAUUCUGCCCAAGUUGCACAUAUAUGGGGAUUUUGUGCCAUGGAGCGUAUGGCACAACAUUGACAUUCAAUCUUGUCUCAUCACCCACAGUACUCAUUCCAAGAGUACCUUUGUACAAAGAAUUACCAUAUGAAGGCGGCAAAUUUUCCCGUUGAUUGGACUUCCUUUAUUAGGAAUUUUAGAAGGACCAACACCAGUGCAAUGACUGCCUUCAACAAGUCUACAAGGCAUCUUAAUGUUGUCUGCUAAUAUCUUGAAAAGUAAGGCGUGAUGCCUAGAGAGCCCAACAUCUAAGGACCCAAGAGGGUCGCCCCUAUGGCUCGUAACAAGUUCGGCAAGCCUUUGCACCAAAAUACUGAUCUCAAUGACAGGAUAGUCCAAUGCUAUACAAUGUGCAAUUUGCACCAGCUCGUCCAGGGCAGGAUUAAUUGUUCGAUUGACUAUGACCACGUCAAAGCUAGAACCACCUGAGUUUGUUUCAAGAUCAGCUAGAGAUGGCAUUUGUGAAGGAUCUGCGACUUUCGUCUAAGUGAAGCAGUACCAAUAACACUUCCAGCCGGUAGAUCAGCUAGUGAAGCCGCACUCAAUGAUAUAAAUGCAUCUCUAACAUCCUCUCAUGGACGGUUACACGGUAAAAUAGUUUUCUCUGGUGAGUAUGUAGGAACAUCUUUCAUUGAAUGAACAGCAAUGGCAAUGUCCUCAUUUAUGAGUGCUUCAUCUAUCUCUUUUGUGAACAAUCCCUUCCCACCUAUGUCUGCGAGCGGUUGUGAUAAUAUUCUGUCACAGGUCGAUUUAAUUAUUACAAUUUGAAUAGCUCCUUCUUCAGCUAACUCUGUAUGCGAUGCCAUGAGUUGUUGCCACUUUGUUACUUGGUCGAGUUGUUAGUUCAUACAAUAUCCUCGCAAACGUGUCAGAAUGUUUGCUAUCUGUGAAAAGUAUCUCAGAAAAAGCAUUCUCAUAGGCUAGCAACAAAAUUCUGUUUUGUGGCUCAGAAACAAAACUCUUUAAUAUCAUGGCAGCUUUCCGGCAAACUUCUGGAACAGGAUGUGUUGUGUUAAUUACUUUGAGUAAUAUGGAUUGCAGGUUGACGAGUGCACCUAUAGCAGCUGCCUGAGCAUCAAUUGCCGGUAAUCUGAUAAGGUCAAUCAAACGUUUGUGUAUCUGUGGAAAAAAUGAUAGCAAGAAAGGUUCGUUGUCAGGAUUAAUGAUCAAUCGGCCAGGCAACUCAGCAGCAGCACAAUGCCAGGCUUUGACAAGAGAAUUCAAUAUCCCCAUGAUGGCCUGAACUGCACAUUUCUCUCUAUUGUAAGAUCUUCAAUGCAUUGGAGGGCUGUUGGUUUAUUACUUUAUACUGGCUGUUGUAUUGCUGUUAUGUUAAUUAUUGUUUAUGUUUGUAGUAAAAAGAUAUUCCAAUUCAGAAAUCCAAAUUCAAGUCAAUA